rnacentral:rRNA from 1 species
CCUACGGGUGGCAGCAGUGGGGAAUAUUGCACAAUGGGGGAAACCCUGAUGCAGCGACGCCGCGUGAGUGAUGAAGGAUUUCGGUAUGUAAAGCUCUAUCAGCAGGGAAGAUAAUGACGGUACCUGACUAAGAAGCUCCGGCUAAAUACGUGCCAGCAGCCGAGGUAAUACGUAUGGAGCAAGCGUUAUCCGGAUUUACUGGGUGUAAAGGGAGCGGAGAGGGGAGGGCAAGUCUGAUGUGAAGGUCCGGGGCUCAACCCCGGGACUGCAUUGGAAGCUGUCCGGCUAGAGUGCAGGAGAGGUAAGUGGAAUUCCGAGUGUAGCGGUGAAAUGCGUAGAGAUUAGGAGGAACACCAGUGGCGAAGGCGGCUUACUGGUCUGUAACUGACGUUGAGGCGCGAAAGCGUGGGGAGCAAACAGGAUUAGAUACCCUUGUAGUC